AAGAGACAGCAGUAGCCGCGGUAAUACAGAGGGUGCGAGCGUUAAUCGGAUUUACUGGGCGUAAAGCGUGCGUAGGCGGCUUCUUAAGUCGGAUGUGAAAUCCCUGAGCUUAACUUAGGAAUUGCAUUCGAUACUGGGAAGCUAGAGUAUGGGAGAGGAUGGUAGAAUUCCAGGUGUAGCGGUGAAAUGCGUAGAGAUCUGGAGGAAUACCGAUGGCGAAGGCAGCCAUCUGGCCUAAUACUGACGCUGAGGUACGAAAGCAUGGGGAGCAAACAGGAUUAGAUACCCCAGUAGUCCCUGUCUCUUAUAU
rnacentral:rRNA from 1 species